UCAAGUGAAGAAGCGCAUACGGUGGAUGCCUUGGCAGUCAGAGGCGAUGAAAGACGUGGUAGCCUGCGAAAAGCUUCGGGGAGUCGGCAAACAGACUUUGAUCCGGAGAUCUCUGAAUGGGGGAACCCACCUAGGAUAACCUAGGUAUCUUGUACUGAAUCCAUAGGUGCAAGAGGCGAACCAGGGGAACUGAAACAUCUAAGUACCCUGAGGAAAAGAAAUCAACCGAGAUUCCCUUAGUAGUGGCGAGCGAACGGGGAUUAGCCCUUAAGCUUCAUUGAUUUUAGCGGAACGCUCUGGAAAGUGCGGCCAUAGUGGGUGAUAGCCCCGUACGCGAAAGGAUCUUUGAAGUGAAAUCGAGUAGGACGGAGCACGAGAAACUUUGUCUGAACAUGGGGGGACCAUCCUCCAAGGCUAAAUACUACUGACUGACCGAUAGUGAACCAGUACCGUGAGGGAAAGGCGAAAAGAACCCCGGAGAGGGGAGUGAAAUAGAACCUGAAACCGUAUGCGUACAAGCAGUGGGAGCCUACUUGUUAGGUGACUGCGUACCUUUUGUAUAAUGGGUCAGCGACUUAUAUUCAGUGGCAAGCUUAACCGUAUAGGGUAGGCGUAGCGAAAGCGAGUCUUAAUAGGGCGUUUAGUCGCUGGGUAUAGACCCGAAACCGGGCGAUCUAUCCAUGAGCAGGUUGAAGGUUAGGUAACACUGACUGGAGGACCGAACCCACUCCCGUUGAAAAGGUAGGGGAUGACUUGUGGAUCGGAGUGAAAGGCUAAUCAAGCUCGGAGAUAGCUGGUUCUCCUCGAAAGCUAUUUAGGUAGCGCCUCAUGUAUCACUCUGGGGGGUAGAGCACUGUUUCGGCUAGGGGGUCAUCCCGACUUACCAAACCGAUGCAAACUCCGAAUACCCAGAAGUGCCGAGCAUGGGAGACACACGGCGGGUGCUAACGUCCGUCGUGAAAAGGGAAACAACCCAGACCGCCAGCUAAGGUCCCAAAGUUGUGGUUAAGUGGUAAACGAUGUGGGAAGGCUUAGACAGCUAGGAGGUUGGCUUAGAAGCAGCCACCCUUUAAAGAAAGCGUAAUAGCUCACUAGUCGAGUCGGCCUGCGCGGAAGAUGUAACGGGGCUCAAACCACACACCGAAGCUGCGGGUGUCACGUAAGUGACGCGGUAGAGGAGCGUUCUGUAAGCCUGUGAAGGUGAGUUGAGAAGCUUGCUGGAGGUAUCAGAAGUGCGAAUGCUGACAUGAGUAACGACAAUGGGUGUGAAAAACCCCCACGCCGAAAGACCAAGGGUUCCUGCGCAACGUUAAUCGACGCAGGGUUAGUCGGUUCCUAAGGCGAGGCUGAAAAGCGUAGUCGAUGGGAAACAGGUUAAUAUUCCUGUACUUCUGGUUACUGCGAUGGAGGGACGGAGAAGGCUAGGCCAGCUUGGCGUUGGUUGUCCAAGUUUAAGGUGGUAGGCUGAAAUCUUAGGUAAAUCCGGGGUUUCAAGGCCGAGAGCUGAUGACGAGUCGUCUUUUAGAUGACGAAGUGGUUGAUGCCAUGCUUCCAAGAAAAGCUUCUAAGCUUCAGGUAACCAGGAACCGUACCCCAAACCGACACAGGUGGUCGGGUAGAGAAUACCAAGGCGCUUGAGAGAACUCGGGUGAAGGAACUAGGCAAAAUGGCACCGUAACUUCGGGAGAAGGUGCGCCGGCUAGGGUGAAGGAUUUACUCCGUAAGCUCUGGCUGGUCGAAGAUACCAGGCCGCUGCGACUGUUUAUUAAAAACACAGCACUCUGCAAACACGAAAGUGGACGUAUAGGGUGUGACGCCUGCCCGGUGCCGGAAGGUUAAUUGAUGGGGUUAGCGCAAGCGAAGCUCUUGAUCGAAGCCCCGGUAAACGGCGGCCGUAACUAUAACGGUCCUAAGGUAGCGAAAUUCCUUGUCGGGUAAGUUCCGACCUGCACGAAUGGCGUAACGAUGGCGGCGCUGUCUCCACCCGAGACUCAGUGAAAUUGAAAUCGCUGUGAAGAUGCAGUGUAUCCGCGGCUAGACGGAAAGACCCCGUGAACCUUUACUGUAGCUUUGCACUGGACUUUGAGCCUGCUUGUGUAGGAUAGGUGGGAGGCUUUGAAGCGUGGACGCCAGUUCGCGUGGAGCCAUCCUUGAAAUACCACCCUGGCAUGCUUGAGGUUCUAACUCUGGUCCGUGAUCCGGAUCGAGGACAGUGUAUGGUGGGCAGUUUGACUGGGGCGGUCUCCUCCUAAAGAGUAACGGAGGAGUACGAAGGUGCGCUCAGACCGGUCGGAAAUCGGUCGCAGAGUAUAAAGGCAAAAGCGCGCUUGACUGCGAGACAGACACGUCGAGCAGGUACGAAAGUAGGUCUUAGUGAUCCGGUGGUUCUGUAUGGAAGGGCCAUCGCUCAACGGAUAAAAGGUACUCCGGGGAUAACAGGCUGAUACCGCCCAAGAGUUCAUAUCGACGGCGGUGUUUGGCACCUCGAUGUCGGCUCAUCACAUCCUGGGGCUGAAGCCGGUCCCAAGGGUAUGGCUGUUCGCCAUUUAAAGUGGUACGCGAGCUGGGUUUAGAACGUCGUGAGACAGUUCGGUCCCUAUCUGCCGUGGACGUUUGAGAUUUGAGAGGGGCUGCUCCUAGUACGAGAGGACCGGAGUGGACGAACCUCUGGUGUUCCGGUUGUCACGCCAGUGGCAUUGCCGGGUAGCUAUGUUCGGAAAAGAUAACCGCUGAAAGCAUCUAAGCGGGAAACUUGCCUCAAGAUGAGAUCUCACUGGGAACUUGAUUCCCCUGAAGGGCCGUCGAAGACUACGACGUUGAUAGGCUGGGUGUGUAAGCGUUGUGAGGCGUUGAGCUAACCAGUACUAAUUGCCCGUGAGGCUUGACCAU
rnacentral:rRNA from 3 species